rnacentral:lncRNA from 1 species
AUUAGAUAAUGUAUUUCCUUCUUCUAGGGCAACAGAAUCUGCAUUAGAAGGAGCACAUUCAGACACAGUGGAUUUAACCCCAGAGAUGAAUCACUGGGAAACAUGCAGAUAAUUCUGAAGUUGAGCUUUCUACUUUACAAUUGGCACAUCAUCUCACACAGCAUUGUAAUGGAUAGAGAAACAUGCUACAAGUAGU